rnacentral:tRNA from 1 species
GGCGGCGUAGCUCAGUGGUAGAGCAAACGGUUCAUACCCGUUGGGUCGGUGGUUCAAGUCCACUCGCCGCUA